rnacentral:lncRNA from 1 species
GAGCUGUUGACUCUGUCUGCCAGUUUCACAGAAUCCACAAUCAACUUGUUGACAUUACUUUUCUGCAGAUGGCCAAUAAAAUGCCACUUGAUCUCUGGACAAGAUGACAGAAUUCUGGAGUCUGACGCCUUUUCUAGCAGCUCUUGAACGUAGUUCUCCCCGAAGCUGCGCUGCCCGUGGCUGUAGGCGUCCAGCACCAUCUCCGCGGGCUUCGUCUUGCUGACGGCCACCAGGCGCGGCUGCAUGUCCGGGAGUCCCUUCGGCCUCCGCGCUGCCGCCUGCUGCACCUGCUCGGUGACGGCGCGCAGCGCCGGGCCCAGCCCUUCCCCGGCGGCCAUGCCCGCUCUCCACAUCCCCGGCCGCCGCCGCGCCGACUUCCGCCACACACACACGGCGCUCCGCCCCCACCCGGCGGCCAAUCGCGACGCGCGAUCGCAUCCGGAGACCAAUGGUUGCGAGGGGCGGGAGAGCUGGGGCGCCAUGUUGGGAAGGUCGGCGGCGCCAUAUUGGGAGGGUCGGGGUCUUCAUGGCGGAGAGCGCUGAGGGGAAGGUCAGGCGGUGAGGCUGGGUGCCCGCAGCUCCCCAGGGCUUUAGUGGCAUUCUGCCGGGCUCUGGUGAAGUUUCCUGUCACUGAAGGUAGUGAGAAAGACGCAGGAUCGAGGCCCGUGCUUCCAGUGUGGUGUCUGCACAUACCCUCACACUGUAGCAGUCCACCCACAAAUAAAACAAAUUGUUGCCAUCCGCAUCCAGAACAGAUCCUCCAGGGCCAGCUUUCAGCAUCAAAAUAAGAUAAUAAACCAUAAAACAGGCCCCACCAUUCGCCCCAUAGGCCCCGUGUAAGCCCAGGGCUGUGCUAUGGAAGCACCACAGCAGAGCCCACAGCUGCGGGGCACACACAGGCAGUGCCAGCUGGAAGACAUCAGCCAAAAUGUUUCCCCAAGGCACAGAAGUUGCCCUCCCCCCACCCCCCGUUUUGAGCACCAACAGUAUUUGCACAGCUGUUCCGAAGAGCCUGGCAGGGAUUUCCUGCUAACUUCACUGCAAAACUUUUGUGGUGGUGGAGCUCCGCAGCUCCGUGCCCUCCCACAGAGAUACCCCUGGGGAUGCCUCCCUGCA